rnacentral:rRNA from 1 species
CCCUCGCUGUGUGUUACAAGUGUCACACGGUACUGCCGGUCUUAAGCCGGAGGAAGGUGGGGAUGACGUCAAGUCAGCAUGGCCUUUAUGUCCUGGGCUACACACACGCUACAAUGGCCAACACAAUAGGUUGCUAAGCCGCGAGGUGGAGCCAAUCCUCAAAGUUGGUCUCAGUUCAGAUUGCAGGCUGCAACCCGCCUGCAUGAAGAUGGAGUUGCUAGUAACCGCAGGUCAGCUAUACUGCGGUGAAUACGUUCCCGGGGCUU